rnacentral:rRNA from 1 species
GCAGUCGAGGGGUAUAGGUUUUCGGACCUAGAGACCGGCGCACGGGUGCGUAACGCGUAUGCAAUCUACCUUUUACAGAGGGAUAGCCCAGAGAAAUUUGGAUUAAUACCUCAUAGUAUUAUUGAAUGGCAUCAUUUAAUAAUUAAAGUCACAACGGUAAAAGAUGAGCAUGCGUCCCAUUAGCUUGUUGGUAAGGUAACGGCUUACCAAGGCAACGAUGGGUAGGGGUCCUGAGAGGGAGAUCCCCCACACUGGUACUGAGACACGGACCAGACUCCUACGGGAGGCAGCAGUGAGGAAUAUUGGUCAAUGGGCGCAAGCCUGAACCAGCCAUGCCGCGUGCAGGAUGAAGCAUCUAUGGUGUGUAAACUGCUUUUGUACGAGAAGAAACACUCCUACGUGUAGGAGCUUGACGGUAUCGUAAGAAUAAGGACCGGCUAACUCCGUGCCAGCAGCCGCGGUAAUACGGAGGGUCCAAGCGUUAUCCGGAAUCAUUGGGUUUAAAGGGUUCGUAGGCGGUUUUGUAAGUCAGUGGUGAAAGCCCAUCGCUCAACGGUGGAACGGCCAUUGAUACUGCAAGACUUGAAUUAUUGGGAAGUAACUAGAAUAUGUAGUGUAGCGGUGAAAUGCUUAGAGAUUACAUGGAAUACCAAUUGCGAAGGCAGGUUACUACCAAUAUAUUGACGCUGAUGGACGAAAGCGUGGGGAGCGAACAGGAUUAGAUACUCUGGUAGUCCACGCCGUAAACGAUGGAUACUAGCUGUUCGGAGCAAUCUGAGUGGCUAAGCGAAAGUGAUAAGUAUCCCACCUGGGGAGUACGUUCGCA